CCGGCAUCCCCCGCGUCCUCUCCCCUGUGUCCCGGCAUCCCCCGCGUCCUCUCCCCUGUGUCCCGGCAUCCCCUGUGUCCCCUGCAUCCUCUCCCCUGUGUCCCGGCAUCCCCCGCAUCCUGUCCCCUGUGUCCCUGGCUUUCUCUGUGUCCUCUCCCCUGUGACCCAGCAUCCCCUGUGUCCUUGCUCCUGGACACCAGCCACCAGGGAAAGGCCACACCAGAGUCAGCUUUCCCCGUCACAGAUCAGCUGGCUGGGCUUUUGUGGGUCUAUUCCUGGGCUCCCCGUUUCGUCCCAGUCAUCCAUUUAUCUGUUCUUUCAUUGAUACUGUUACCUGGGAUGAAUGCCUAUGGAACAUAGCUGAAUUUCUACCCUGCGCUAACUCUGCUUAUCUUUAGGAAACAGGACUCCCAGGAUAAAAAGUUCCCUUUCUAACCAGACCAGCUGAGACUGGUUGAAACCAAGAUAGCUGACCGAGAAACUUCAAAAAGACCUUCAGCCUUAUUAUCAUCUCAUUUCCAUGCUCAGUGACACGCCCACAGUGCCAUGAUGGUUGGAAAUCACCAUGACGAUGACUGGAGGAAGGAAGGUCGCGCUCCGGUUCCAGGAAGCUCACUGCCCGCUCCCGGAAAAGACAUGAAUAUUCCUCCCCUUGCUUGGUGUGUCCAACCCUUUCAUGAGACAGUCAGUGUGUGUCAGCCUCCCCACCCCUCCCAGGCUGAGUGGAUUUGUGAGCCGCACUCCCACUUCUCAAUGCCAGGGCCACGGAAUGAAGCCUGCACUGCGGACACUCACUUUCGGUUUCAUGUAUUGGCUUCGUGACACCCCACAGCGAAAGACCCUCUGUUCUGGGGGAAUGACUGUGUUGGUGACAAAACCAUGCUUUCUGGAUCACUGUGGUAUUACGGCAGGGCUUGAAGUCAGGUAUGUGGGUUCUCCAACUCUGUUCUUUUUUCUUCCUCAUGGUGUUGGCUGUCCGAGGACUUUCGCCUUUCCAUAUGAACUUUAGACUCAGGUGGCAUCGCCUGCAGAAUGCCUUGCUGGGAUUGGCCGGGAUUGAACGUUAGACUCAGGUGGCAUCACCUGCAGAAUGCCUUGCUGGGAUUGGCCGGGAUUGAACGUUAGACUCAGGUGGCAUCACCUGCAGAAUGCCUUGCUGGGACUGGCUGGGAUUGAACGUUAGACUCAGGUGGCAUCGCCUGCAGAAUGCCUUGCGGGGAUUGGCUGGGAUUGAACGUUAGACUCAGGUGGCAUCGCCUGCAGAAUGCCUUGCGGGGAUUGGCUGGGAUUGCAGCGAAUCACCUCUUGGCUCUAAUAGCCAAAAUUCAUAGCUGUGCAGAACUCUCUUUGAAAAAAUGGCCAAUGAUUACAUAAGAGUGAAUCCAAUUCCCAUUAACAAAUCUUAAUAUAAUACAUCCAACAAAGCUACGUGUAGAAACUAAGUGACAUCAAACAUAUGCUUGUCGUAAUCACGUGUGUUGAAAACUGUGUUGAAAAGUGCACCAGGUGCCAGUAGGGGCCAAGGGACCUAGGCCCCUUGCCAAGGUCAGCGCAUGCUGACCUGCGCUGGUGGUCGGGUGGAGGGCUCCAUUUGCAAACAGGCGACAGUUGGCUGCCAAUCUUGUUGAUCAUUUAUUUGCUGAUCAAAAAGGAAUUCUGUCAGUACUGUGCACCCUAACACAAUAUUUGGACCUUCAUACAUGUAUUAGUCGGUUUUCCUGCUGCUAAUAAAGACAUACCCAAGACUGGGUAAUUUAUAAAGGAAAGAGGUUUAAUGGA
rnacentral:lncRNA from 1 species